rnacentral:misc_RNA from 1 species
CUUUUGUCUUAGUGUAUAUGUAUAUGAGUUUUUGACAAUAAAGGAACAAUAUCAAARUUCUUGAUAAAACAAGAAAUUGAGUAUUGUUCCUUUAUUUUAUUUAAUAGUUUUUCUACUUAGAAUUACUUAUUAGAAUUAUUUAUAAUUAUUUAUUCUUAAUUAGAGAAUUACUUAUAGAGAAUUACUUAGAAUGUUAGUCUAUUUUAGUCUAUUCUUAGAAUUUUUUAUUCUAUUUUAGACAAAGUAGUUGUAUUCUUAUUAUUGUUAUUAUAUGAUAUGGUUUAAUUUAUUUCUUGUUUUUGUUAUUUAUUUUAUUCCAAAAUAACAAACUAAAAUAACAAAAAUAAAAAUCAGGGGCGGAUGUAGCCAAGUGGAUUAAGGCAGUGGAUUGUGAAUCCACCAUGCGCGCCUGU